CCUACGGGUGGCAGCAGUGGGGGAUAUUGCACAAUGGGGGCAACCCUGAUGCAGCGACGCCGCGUGAAUGAAGAAGUCUUUCGGGAUGUAAAGCUCUAUCCGCAGGGACGAAAAAAUACGGUUCCUGACUAAGAAGCCCCGGCUAACUACGUGCCAGCAGCCGCGGGAAUACGUAGGGGGCAAGCGUUAUCCGGAUGUACUGGGUGGAAAGGGAGCGUAGACGGGAAUUCAAGUCGGAAGUGAAAUACCCGGGCUCAACCUGGGAACUGGUUUGGAACCUGUAUGGCUGGAGUGCUGGAGAGGUAAGCGGAAUUCCGAGUGUAGCGGUGAAAUGCGUAGAUAUUAGGAGGAACACCAGUGGCGAAGGCGGCUUACUGGAAAGGAACUGACGUUGAGGCGCGAAAGCGUGGGGAGCAAACAGGAUUAGAUACCCCGGUAGUC
rnacentral:rRNA from 1 species